rnacentral:lncRNA from 1 species
AUUGAACAACACACAGAAUUUUAUUGCCAACUCAAAUUUUAAGCUUACCAAAUAGUUAUAGUUACCUCAGGGCUGCAAGAGACUGUCUCAUUUUACUGUGUGCAUUUACUGCCUGAAUUUGUUGUUAUGUGCAUGUACUUUGUAAUGAAAACUUUUUUUUCUAGCAGGUAACUCUUUCAGACAGUUCACAGGAAUGUUGUGUCAUUUUCCAUCAGGUGGGCAACAUGGACAGCGUCUGGCAGAAUGCCUGUUGCUGAUGCUAAGGGACUAGAUGACUGGCCCUCCUUUUCUAAGGACUCACUGUUU